UCCAGACUCCUACGGGAGGCAGCAGUGGGGAAUAUUGGACAAUGGGGGGAGCCCUGAUCCAGCGACGCCGCGUGAGUGAAGAAGUAUUUCGGUAUGUAAAGCUCUAUCAGCAGGGAAGAAAGAAAUGACGGUACCCGACUAAGAAGCCCCGGCUAACUACGUGCCAGCAGCCGCGGUAAUACGUAGGGGGCGAGCGUUAUCCGGAUUCACUGGGUGUAAAGGGAGCGUAGACGGCCAUGCAAGCCAGGGGUGAAAGCCCGGGGCCCAACCCCGGGACUGCCCUUGGAACUGCAUGGCUGGAGUGCGGGAGGGGCAGGCGGAAUUCCUGGUGUAGCGGUGAAAUGCGUAGAUAUCAGGGGGAACACCGGCGGCGAAGGCGGCCUGCUGGACCGCGACUGACGUUGAGGCUCGAAAGCGUGGGGAGCGAACAGGAUUAGAUACCCUUGUA
rnacentral:rRNA from 1 species